GACGAACGCUGGCGGCGUGCUUAACACAUGCAAGUCGAACGGAAAGGCCCUGCUUUUGUGGGGUGCUCGAGUGGCGAACGGGUGAGUAACACGUGAGUAACCUGCCCUUGACUUUGGGAUAACUUCAGGAAACUGGGGCUAAUACCGGAUAGGAGCUCCUGCUGCAUGGUGGGGGUUGGAAAGUUUCGGCGGUUGGGGAUGGACUCGCGGCUUAUCAGCUUGUUGGUGGGGUAGUGGCUUACCAAGGCUUUGACGGGUAGCCGGCCUGAGAGGGUGACCGGCCACAUUGGGACUGAGAUGCGACCCAGACUCCUACGGGAGGCAGCAGUGGAGAAUAUUGCACAAUGGGCGGAAGCCUGAUGCAGCAACGCCGCGUGCGGGAUGACGGCCUUCGGGUUGUAAACCGCUUUCGCCUGUGACGAAGCGUGAGUGACGGUAAUGGGUAAAGAAGCACCGGCUAACUACGUG
rnacentral:rRNA from 1 species